rnacentral:lncRNA from 1 species
AGAUCGAUAAGCUAUUUAGUUUUUUCUAAAUAUCGGGUAAGUCCUCCCAAAACUUGAACAUAGCAAAGUAGUUCAUACAAGGAUAGGGUACAUGUAGUUGAUACAUGCAUAGGUGAUCAACAAAGGGUACAUCUAGUUGGUACAUGCAUAGGUGAUCUACAACACGUAGUGAUAGUGGAUACUGGAUGCAGAAUUGUGAAGCUCUUGUUCUCUUCUUACACCUGAGAUGUUGAUCAUCCAGCUGGGUUUGUCUCUACGAUGUAGUGGUAGAUAGAUGAAGCUGGUUCUUUUGCUCUUGUUCUUGGUGGUGGUAGAUGAAACUGGCUCUUUUGCUCUUGUUCUUGGUGGUUUGUUUGAUCUGUAGGCAAUGUUAAAGUUGCUACUGGAUGCACGUCCUGGCUCUCGACGGUUAGGCAAAUUAUCUUGAAAUUGGAGAAAAAUCUUUUUGAGGACCCUUGUUCGCCUCACAUCCAUUUAUCUGACAAAUAAUUAAGGACAGAGGAAGUAUCAAAUUUUCUCAAAUGGUUGCUGCAUCCUAGAAGCAAAUUACACCAGAAAAAUAUAU